ACUCAAGGUGGGGUAUACGGCCCUAUAUAGCAUUGUCCCAUACCGACUAUAUAUAUCUAUACGGCCCUGCUAACAGUGAAAGAAAGAAAACGGCUUUAUAUACAGUUUCACGUACUAUAUGACAUAUGUAUUGCCCAUCUGCAGCGAGGCACGGAGAAUUGGGGAUAACGCGUCAGUGCGUCUAAUUAUCGCCAAUAGUCCAAGCCAAGACUAUCAGAUCUGGCUCUCGUUCUCGCUUCAGAGAACGUGCGUCUCACGGUGCAAAGAAAUCUUUCCCUUCUCGACGCUGGUAGAAGGUCAACAAGCAGGGCUGCUCUGCUCGUCCGUGGAAGAAGUUAUGUGCUCUUGCAUUGGGUUCAAAAUGUCGACAAAUAAUCCAUGCUAAGCCCCCCAAUAUUCCAAGCCGAGACUGGGUCAGAUCUGGCUCUUGGGUCAGGUCUCGCAUCACAGAAGAUGUCAACGAGCACCUCACGGAAACUCUCCGUUCUCGAUGGUGGAAGACGGGUUAGCGGUACAUCUACACUUUUAUGAACCCAACGCUUUCUUAAUCUUUAUUGAGGAUUGAUAUGGUAUCAGCAUUUUUUUAGAAACAAUUCUGCACUUUUGCAUCCUAUUUUUCUCAUUCUUGAUCUUGAUGGUUGCAUUGGAUAUUUAGUACUUAUAGGUCCACCGUAGUGAAUACCAAAGCACCCGUAAUGGUUCUAAUAAGUCCUACAGAGGCACAAAACAAUAUUUGCUAUGUAAAGCCUCUGAGUUAUUAGGGAGAGAAUCACCCCAAUGAAUGCAGAAAAUCGAAAAAGAUAUAUCCAUCUGGAUUGAUUAUCUUCAUGACUAUACCCCUAUAAACAACAAAUAUAGGUAAAUCUAACAAUUCAAUUCGGCCAUUUAUAUGUACAUACUAAAAGAAUGAAUCUUUAUUACGAUCAUUGGCAUUUGUGAUGCAUUAUGGCCUCACCUGAUUGCACUGGUGAGUUCAGUAGUGACUGCUACCAUUGUUGCAAGAAAAAACUAGCAAAAUAUAAUCUAGCCCUUCCCACCUGCUGAACUUGGUAAACAUCUUGAGCAAAAAUGCGAGCUGUAUGCACUUUUGCGUCCUCUUUUAUUUUUGUCUUACUUUAUUCAAAUAAUUAUAUCCUCUUGCGUUGGGUUCAAAAGGUCGAUAACCAAUCCAUUCUGACCCCCCCAAUUUUCCAAGCCGAGACUAGGUCAGAUCUGCCUCUUAGGCCAGGUCUCGCAUCAGAGAAGAUGUCAACGAGCAUCUCACGGAAACUCUCCGUUCUCGACGGUGGAAGAAGGGUAAGGGGUACAUCUACACUUUUAUGAACCCAACGCUUUCUUUAUCAUUCUUGCAGACUGGUUGGUAUCAUCUUUUUUUUUUAGGAAAAAUUAUGCAAUUUUCCAUCCUAUUUUUCUCAUUCUUGAUGUUGAUGGUUGGAAUGGAUAUUUAGUACUUAUAGGUCCAUCGUAGUGAAUGCCAAAGAACCCAUAAUAGAUUUGAUAAGUCAUAUAGAGGCACACAACAAUGUAUGCUAGGUAAAUCGUCCGAGUUAUUAGGGAGAGAAUCACUCCAAUAAUUGUGGAAAAUCGAAAAAGAUAUAUCCAUCUGUAUUGAUUAUCUUCAUGAUUAUACCCCUAUAAACAACACAUAUAAGUAAAUCUAACAAUUCAAUUCGGCCAUUUAUAUGUACAUACUAAAAGAAUGAAUCUUUUUUACGAUCUUUGGUGUUUGUGAUGCUUUAUGGCCUCACCUGAUUGCUUUGGUGAGUUCAGAAGUGAUUGCUACCAUUGUUGGAAGAAAAAACUAGUUGAAUAUAAUAUAGCCCUUCCCACCUGCUGAACUUGGUAAACUUCUAGAGCAAAAAUGUGAGCUGUAUGCACUCUUGCUUGCUCUUUAUUUUUGUCUUACUUUAUUAAAACGAUUAUAUCCUCUUGUGUUGGGUUCAUAAGGUCGAUAAACAAUCCAUUCUAACCCCCCCCCCCCCAAUAUUCGAAGCUGAGACUGGGUCAAAUCUGGCUCUUGGGUCAAGUCUCUCAUCAAAGAAGAUGUCAACGAGCAUCUCAUGGAAACUCUCGGUUCUCGAUGGUGGAAGAAGGGUAAGGGGUACAUCUACACUUUUAUGAACCCAAUGCUUUCUUUAUCUUUCUUGCUGAUUGAUAUGUUUUCCACAAUUUUUUUAGAAAAAAUUCUACAAUUUUCCAUCCUAUUUUUCUCAUUCUUGAUGUUGAUGGUUGGAAUGGAUAUUUAGUACUUAUAGGUCCAUCGUAGUGAAUGUCAAAGAACGCAUAAUGGAUCUUAUAAGUCUUAAAGAGGCACACAACAAUGUAUGCUAGUUAAAACCUCUGAGUUAUUAGGGAGAGAAUCACUCCAAUUAAUACAGAAAAUCGAAAAAGAUAUAUCCAUCUAUAUUGAUUAUCUUCACGACUAUCCCCCUAUAAACAACACAUAUAGGUAAAUCUAACGAUUCAAUUCGGCCAUUUAUAUAUACAUACUAAAAGAAUGAAUCUUUUUUACGGUCUUUAGCGUUUGUGAUGCUUUAUGGCCUCACGUGAUUGCUCUAGUGAGUUCAGUAGUGAUUGUUACCAUUGUUGCAAGAAAAAACUAGUAAAAUAUAAUCUAGCCCUUCCCACCUGUUGAACUUGGUAAACUUCUUGAGCAAAAAUUCGAGUUGUAUGCACUCUUGCUUACUCUUUAUUUUUGUCUUACUUUAUUAAAACAAUUAUAUACUCUUGCGUUGGGUUCAAAAGGUCGAUAAAUAAUCCAUUCUAACCAAACCCCCCCCCCCCCCCUCAAAAAAUAUUCCAAGCCAAACCUGGGUCAGAUCUGGCUCUUGGGUCAGGUCUCGCAUCCAAGAAGAUGUCAACGAGCAUCUCACGGAAACUCUCCAUUCUCGACAGUGGGAGAAGGGUAAGGGGUACAUCUACACUUUUAUGAACCCAACGCUUUUUUUUAUCUUUCGUCUAGAUUGAUAUGGUAUCUGCGCUUUUUUUAGAAGAAAAUAUGCAAUGUUCCAACCUAUUUUUCUCAUUCUUCAUGUUGAUGGUUGGAAUGGAUAUUCUGUACUUAUAGGUCCAAAGUAGUGAAUGCCAAAGAACCCAUAAUGGAUCUGAUAAGUCAUACAGAGGUACACGAUAAUGUAUGCUAGGUAAAGCCUCUAAGUUAUUAGGAAGAGAGUCACUAUAAUUAUUGCAGAUAAUCAAAAAAAGAUAUAUCUAUCUGUAUUGAUUAUCUUCAAGACUGUACCCCAAUAAACAUCAUAUAUAGGUAAAUCUUACAAUUCAAUUCAACCAUUUAUAUAUACAUAAUAAAAGAAUGAAUCUUUUUUAUGAUCUUUGGCGUUUGUGAUGCUUUAUGGCCUCACGUGAUUGCUCUGGUUAUUCCAGUAGCGAUUGCUACCAUUGUUGCAAGAAAAAGCCAGUAAAAAAUAAUCUAGCCCUUCCCACCUGCUAAACUUGAUAAGCUUCUUGAGCAAAAAUGUGAGCUGUAAGCACUCUUGAUUACUCUUUAUUUCUCUUAUUUUAUUAAAACAAUUAUGCACUCUUGCAUUGGGUUCAAAAUGUUGACAAAUAAUCCAUGCUAACCCCCCCAAUAUUCCAAGCCGAGACUGGGUCAGAUCUGGCUCUUGGGUUAGGUUUCACAUCAUAGAAGAUGUCAACGAGCACCUCAUGGAAACUCUCCGUUCUCGACAAUGGAAGACAGGCCAGGUCUCGCAUCAAAGAAGAUGUCAAUGAGCAUCUCACGGAAACUCUCUGUUCUCGACGGUGGAAGAAGGAAUAUAUAGAAGAGAAAAGCGAAUGCCUACCAAACAUGUGGCUUUGUUGAUUGUAUCCGCAUCAUUGCCUGCAAGCUGGUCUGCACCAUCGAGGAUAGAAAGCAUUACAUCCAUGAAAUCUUGCUCACCUUUACCCUCACCUAAAGUCCUCUUACGCUUAUGAUCUUCCAGCCAUUCCCCAAUCAUACUGUCCAAUUCUUUGGCAGUUCUCUUCAUGGCCUUCUCAUGUCCACCAUAAUCCAACCAACCAAGGCAAGGAAUGGCAUCCGACACCAAGAACAACCCAAGCAAACGAAAAAACUCCCUCAAUGCUUUUUGAAAACUACGUGCCUUUUCUUUGUUAUGAUCCCCUAUACUAGUAGAAAAGUCGUACCGCUUUCCAGCAACCAUCCUAACAAUCAAGUUAAGAUUCAUGUCCCCAAUCCACUGCUUCAGAUCCACCAUAACCUGGCCUGAGUUGUCCCUUUGCUUGGUCCAAAGUUUGUAUAGCUGUGCUAAGGAGGUCUCAACUUCGGAGACUCGAACGUGAGAAAGAAGUUCAAGCCGACGAUUAGAGAGUAGCUCUACGGUGACUAUUUUACGCAAUUCACGCCAAUAGGAACCAUAGGCUGCGUGGCUGAACAUGGCAGAGUUAUAUCCCAAGUGCUUUGAAGCAACAAGUUUGGGUCGAGAGGAAACAGCGACAUCGUUGGUUGUGAAGCACUCCUUAGCCACCUCCCAAUUGCUCAACACCAAGGUUCGGUGCAACCCUAUCUGGAUAGUGAAAGCCGGACCGUAUUUGUCUGCCAUGGCUCCCAAAGUUUUGUGGGGAAGUUGGCUUCCUCCCAAUAGAGGCAGGUGACCCACUAUAGGCCAUGCACCUGGUGGACUUGGUGGGGUUUUGAGCAAGCCAUCUUUAGACCUCCUUAAAAGAUGAAAUAACAACAGAGCUAUGGCAAGUGCUCCAACUACAACAGAGUUUAGGCAAGGGGAAAGAAGGGAAAGAAGAUCCAUUAUUGGCGACAAUAUUUUGCAAGAGGCAGCUUGGAGGAUAUCUUUUGGUGAACUUAUAAUAAUGCUUUUAUUACCAUAUGUUCCAACUGUUCACGAGUAUUUUUGGGGGUGAUAUAAUGUAAAGUCAAAUUAUCAUAAUUUAAUACAUAAAGUGGCCUUCUUAUCUUCUUUAA